UGUGAGGAGAUGUCUUGUCUUUGUAGAUGAGAAUGAUUUUAGUAAUCGUGAGGAGACUGCCCUGUAUGUGGAAGCCUGUUGAGAAAGAAAUGGGUUUGGUGCAUGCGUGUGAAUGUCAAUCUGUUUUCAAUCUUCAGGGCUGAGUUUGGCUCUUUCUACUUCUGUUUCACAAGGAAAGCAGUGGGAAAGGAACGCAGUAGCAAGCGGCUCUCCCUCCCAUACUCCAAUUCAAGAGACCACAUGUUGACAUGGUGGAACCACCUGAUAGAAGCACCUGUAUCACCACUGGAAGAAUAGCUGUUCUGGAGAGCCCUUCAAAACCUAAAUUGGACUCUGCAUAAGCAAGAAAUCAAUUUUCAAAUGGUAAACUCAAAGGACAUGUCAUGAAUUCCUGAACUGCAAUAAAUCUGUGAAUGUCAGACACCGUGUGUGGGUGGGUAUUCAGAACAUGACCUCUCCCCUGUCAACACAAAAAGAAACAAAAUUAAGGACCUCUCACAAGUACAUAGG